GGACAUUGAGAUGGAGGCUAACACAACCUUAGCCUUUUGUCCUUCAAACAAUCGUGAAAAUGAAGUGUAAUGGUGUUGACUUGGGAGACCAAACCUGAUCAGUUUCAAACGCACCGCAUCAAGUUUAAUAUAUUUCCUUUGGUCUUGGGUGAGGAGGAUAAAGAUCUAGGAAGAAUAUAUCCAAGUGGGCUUCUCCACAAAAGAGUACCUUCCGAUCCUCAGGUUCUGGCUUAUUCUCACUUCACCCACAGUAACUAAAUCUCCCGCAAGAACAUUCAAAAGACUAGACUUUGCAGUUCCGUGAAACCCAAGUAUCGCUACUCGUGUCCCCGCAACUAUACGUACGUCCAAUUUUUGAGAGCCUCAAUUAUGGCGUAUUAACGCUUACCUCAAUCAACUGAAGAAGGGGACGUGGGAGCUCCGUUGGUGCUGUAAAACCGAGCUCCAACCUAUAAAAAAAAAACCUCACGUCGUCACUUGGAACUUGUAGUGUUGCCAUCGAAUUACCAUGUAUCUAAAAAAC